rnacentral:rRNA from 1 species
GUGCCAGCAGCCGCGGUAAUACAGAGGUCCCAAGCGUUGUUCGGAUUCACUGGGCGUAAAGGGUGCGUAGGCGGUCGGGUAAGUCUGAUGUGAAAUCUCAGAGCUCAACUCUGAAACUGCAUUGGAUACUAUUCGGCUUGAGGUCUGGAGGGGGGACUGGAAUUCUCGGUGUAGCAGUGAAAUGCGUAGAUAUCGAGAGGAACACCAGUGGCGAAGGCGAGUCCCUGGACAGGUCCUGACGCUGAGGCACGAAAGCUAGGGGAGCAAACAGGAUUAGAUACCCUGGUAGUCC